GAUGGAGCACACCGCGUGAGUGAAGAAGGGUUUCGGCUCGUAAAGCUCUGUUGUCUAAAGAAGAACACGUAUGAGAGUAACUGUUCAUACGUUGACGGUAUUUAACCAGAAAGUCACGGCUAACUACGUGCCAGCAGCCGCGGUAAUACGUAGGUGGCAAGCGUUAUCCGGAUUUAUUGGGCGUAAAGAGAGUGCAGGCGGUUUUCUAAGUCUGAUGUGAAAGCCUUCGGCUUAACCGGAGAAGUGCAUCGGAAACUGGAUAACUUGAGUGCAGAAGAGGGUAGUGGAACUCCAUGUGUAGCGGUGGAAUGCGUAGAUAUAUGGAAGAACACCAGUGGCGAAGGCGGCUACCUGGUCUGCAACUGACGCUGAGACUCGAAAGCAUGGGUAGCGAACAGGAUUAGAUACCCUGGUAGUCCAUGCCGUAAACGAUGAGUGCUAGGUGUUGGAGGGUUUCCGCCCUUCAGUGCCGGAGCUAACGCAUUAAGCACUCCGCCUGGGGAGUACGACCGCAAGGUUGAAACUCAAAGGAAUUGACGGGGGCCCGCACAAGCGGUGGAGCAUGUGGUUUAAUUCGAAGCUACGCGAAGAACCUUACCAGGUCUUGACAUCUUGCGCCAACCCUAGAGAUAGGGCGUUUCCUUCGGGAACGCAAUGACAGGUGGUGCAUGGUCGUCGUCAGCUCGUGUCGUGAGAUGUUGGGUUAAGUCCCGCAACGAGCGCAACCCUUGUUACUAGUUGCCAGCAUUAAGUUGGGCACUCUAGUGAGACUGCCGGUGACAAACCGGAGGAAGGUGGGGACGACGUCAGAUCAUCAUGCCCCUUAUGACCUGGGCUACACACGUGCUACAAUGGACGGUACAACGAGUCGCGAACUCGCGAGGGCAAGCAAAUCUCUUAAAACCGUUCUCAGUUCGGACUGCAGGCUGCAACUCGCCUGCACGAAGUCGGAAUCGCUAGUAAUCGCGGAUCAGCA
rnacentral:rRNA from 1 species